UGAGUAACCUGCCCUUAACUCUGGGAUAAGCCUGGGAAACUGGGUCUAAUACCGGAUAUGACUCCUCAUCGCAUGAUGGGGGGUGGAAAGCUUUAUUGUGGUUUUGGAUGGACUCGCGGCCUAUCAGCUUGUUGGUGAGGUAAUGGCUCACCAAGGCGACGACGGGUAGCCGGCCUGAGAGGGUGACCGGCCACACUGGGACUGAGACACGGCCCAGACUCCUACGGGAGCAG
rnacentral:rRNA from 1 species